AUGGCGGCCGCGGGCUCCUCCCGCGGCACGGCGGGCAUGCGUGGCGGGGCCCGCGGCCCGGGGGGUCCUGGGGAGACGGAGCGGGGGCGUUUGUUCGAGGGUACGGGAAUGCUUUGCGCAGCGCCUCUGGAGGCUGGGAAGUGUCUCUGGCUCCUGAGGCCAGUAAAGGAGAAGCAGCAGUCUGAGGUGAGACAGCAUUCAGCAGAACCUCACCAGGUGCUUUUAGACCUUGGAGAAGAGCUGUUGUGGUUGAAAACUGAGUAUUAUCUGCUACAGAACUUUACUGUUGUUUGAAACUUGACUUUCCCAUUCUCCUCAUCUUCAUGUAAUAAUGAAAACAAAGUGUUAUAUUUAAAGAUGCUGCUACCUUUUACCAUAGGUAGUUCCUCUAAAAAUACAACAGUUCUUAAAUGCAUGUUUUUAUGAUUGUGGUACUUGGCCGAGGAUGAAAACAAUCAUCUGAUUCCUUGCCUACUUCAAUGAUACGCAAAAAUCUGAUGGAUUAAAGGAUUUUCUGAGGCCAAAACUAAUAUCCAUAUUUACUCAUUCUUUGUUUUUAAAUUAAGCUUUUUUUUUUUCUUCAGCAUCUGAGUAGUGAAGCUUUGUCACAAUUUUAGCAGCACUAGAAGGAUUUUCCUCUAAAGAUAUUUGAGCAUAAACCUCUUAUUUGUCAUCAGAUCUCAACUAGAUUUUUAUUGCUGAAGUAUAUUUUGUUAGAACAGCACACAUCUAUAACAAUUUUGAAGGACAUAAAAGGUACUUGUUUUAGGCAAAUUUUUACUGUGAUUGAAACAAAAACAGGGAAUAUAAUCUGAUUUCCAAGAGUCUUUGCUCUCAGUAAACUUGUUUUUAUACCAAUUCUGACUUUAGUAAAUUGUAUUAAGGUGAGGCAACCAUGAGACUGAAAAUGUAAGUCUUUGCCUCAGUUGACAGCAUUGCAUAUGAAAAUUAAAUAUUUCUCUUUUGUACAGAACGUAGAAUUGGAGCUUUUGAAAAUAAAAAUUGUAAUUAAAAAUCA